rnacentral:tRNA from 1 species
UUGGCGCUGGCCGAGCGGCUUAGGCGGCGGUCUGUGGAACCGCACAGACGGGUUCAACUCCCGUGCGUCAACCCA